ensembl:snRNA U6 U6 spliceosomal RNA
GUGCUCGCUUCGGCAGCACAUACACUAAAAUUGGAACAAUACAGAGAACAUUAGCAUGGCCUCUGCGCAAGGAUGACACGCAAACUAAUGAAGCAUUCCAUAUUUUU